rnacentral:sRNA from 1 species
AAAUACAAAAAAAAUUGAAAUACUUGAGAGAAUGCGGUUCUCAGAUAUACCACAAAGUAGUCACAAUAAAUAAUAAAACUCCUUGAGCUUUAACAACAAAAAACCAA